GACAGAGGGUGCAAACGUUGUUCGGAAUUACUGGGCGUAAAGCGAGUGUAGGCGGUCUGCUAAGUCGGGUGUGAAAGCCCUGGGCUCAACCCAGGAAGUGCACUCGAAACUGGCGGGCUAGAGUAUCGGAGAGGUUGGUGGAAUUCUCGGUGUAGAGGUGAAAUUCGUAGAUAUCGAGAGGAACACCGGUGGCGAAGGCGGCCAACUUGGACGAAUACUGACGCUGAGACUCGAAAGCGUGGGAGCAAACAG
rnacentral:rRNA from 1 species